GAGAACUUGGAGAGAUGUGCCUUAUCCAGGAUUUAUUUUCGGAGAUCGUGAUCUACUAGAACAACUAAGCAGUCUUGAAACCAUACAACUCCUUUCCAAUCUUGGUGGAAACUCUUAUAUCCUUUGUCCCUUUGAGAAAGCUUUUGCUUAAUGAGUUUUAUCUCUUCGUCCCAUAGCUAUGCCAUAUUGAUUUGAUCAUGCAGGGUAGGUUCAAUAGAGAUGUGAUUCAGUGUGCCUUGAGGAACAAUUUCCAAAUUAAGUUUCCUCAUCUCAUGACACAAGGUUUCUGUGAAGUUUUCUGCGGAAAGGCAAUCACAAUGAGCCUUGCGGCUUAAUGCAUCUGCAACCACGUUAGCCUUCCCGGGGUGAUAAUGCACCUCUAGAUCAUAAUCCUUAAUCAUCUCCA
rnacentral:lncRNA from 1 species